UUGCAAGGGGUAUAUCUGCACAGCAGCCCUAAUAGAGCUUAUACAAAUACAACUGACGUUCGGGCUUUGCCAGCUGUGUAUCUGUGGAAGGUACUGCAGCCUACAGAAACUGCUUAAGACAUAAAUAAAUGUUUGUUUAAUGACCCCUUGCCUACUACAACUACUCUGCUAGCUGAAUCCAGGGUGCAAUUAAGGAUGUCUGGCCUGCAGUAACGGAGGUGCUUGCACAGCUGACGUAGUAAGUAGCCCUUCAGAGGUGGGUAGGUGUUGGUCAUUGUUGUGACCACAUCAUUAACUGCAAUAUACUAUACUUAGGUAAGCAGAAAGAGCAUUAACAUAGGUUUUAAAAGAUUUAUCAAUAGCUUUCAUACUUUGUUUUAUUUUCAGAUUGCAUCUCAAACGGCAAGAAGAUGAGAAUUAAUUAAGGAUGCUCCAACCCUAAUAUUUUGCCAUUUAUGGAGGAGAUGACCUAAGGAACAGAAACUUGCAGAUCAUAAAACCUUCUGCACUGUGACUUGGCAGCUGGACUGGAACUGCAAAUUCAGAUUUCACAGAAACCCCUGGGCUGUGGCAGUCUCAUCACUCCAGAAAGCAUGAUGGGUGCUGUGCGUUCCCAGCAGCAGCAGUUCCCUGAGUUCUGAUUUCCUGGAUGCAUGGAAAGCAGCUCUGUAUAACUUCAAGCCCUUUCUUCAGGGACGCAGCAAUGAAUCAUGGCUUCUAUUGAAGUAAAGAGUGUCUGCACAGAGGAAUCUUUGGAGAGGUGUUCGGAGAUCCACAGCUUAUGCAAGAGCAUAUAAGAGACUGUUAUAAAGGAAAGUAUAAUGAUUUUCCUGCUCUUGUGUUCUCUCCCAGUUGAGCACCCCCAAGCUGCUACAUACUUGAAGGGGCCUUUGCCAUCCUGGGCUUUUGAAGAGUUUGGGCCAUAGAAGAGGAAAGUACAGCAGCUGUCCUGCUUUUUGAUAGCUGGCACUUGUGCUUGAGCUUAUCAACACCAUUUCUUCCAAGCUGAAGGGAAGAUGCCAAAACAAUGCUUGACAAAGGAAAAUGUUGAACUGUGAAAAAAGGAGACCAGCAUAGUGGACUCUGCUUUUGCUCUAGAGCUUGUGGGUGACUUAUUCCUCUGGCCAGAAAGAAAGAAACUGUAGAUUUCUCUCAUAGCUGACUUGGCAA